AGUUUGGUGGACAGGAAAAUGGAG
rnacentral:miRNA from 1 species